ACGGAGGGUGCAAGCGUUAAUCGGAAUUACUGGGCGUAAAGCGCGCGCAGGCGGCUUUGUAAGAUCGAUGUGAAAUCCCAUGGCUCAACCAUGGAACUGCAUCCAAAACUACUUGGCUAGAGUCUGGGAGAGGAGGGUGGAAUUCCACGUGUAGCGGUGAAAUGCGUAGAGAUCUGGAGGAAUACCGAUGGCGAAGGCGGCCCCCUGGAAUAGCACUGACGCUGAUGCGCGAAAGCGUGGGGAGCAAACAG
rnacentral:rRNA from 1 species